ACUAUGCCUAGCCGUAAAACAUGAUGUAACAACACCCGCCAGAGAAUUACACGCAACCGCUUUAAACUCAAAAGACUUGACAGUAUCUCAUACACCUAGAGGAGCCUGUCCUAUAACCGAUAACCCACGAUCAACCUUACCCUCCCUUGCACAAACCAGCCUAUAUACCUCCGUCGACAAUACGCCUGUUAACAGUUACAUAGCGUGUAUAAUAGCCUACCACUAACACGACAGGUCAAGGUGUAGCUAAUGGGCGGGACAGCGAUGGGCUACAUUUUCUUCACUAGAAAACACCCAACAUGUAAUGAAAACUCCACAUAAAGGCGGAUUUAGCAGUAAGCAGCAGCAAGGAAAGCUCACCUGAAACCUCACAUG
rnacentral:rRNA from 1 species